GAGGCAAAGGCUUAGCCGAGGAGUAGCUUGCGAGGAAGACAAAUUGCCUUUUCGUCUGUUGCAGGUAGUAGGUGUGACUGUGUGGCAGCGUACUGGGCAUUUGCUUCUGUUCUAUCCCCUAUUGUAUUUUCUUCAGUUCAUGUAUGUUAUUAUUGUCAUGGAACAUGUUAUAAGACCUAUGGAUCCACUAGUGUGUAGAAAACCUUGUUGCAUGGUUUAGUAUUUAAAUACUCUUAAACUUCUGUGUAUUACCAUUUCCUACUAUUGUUAGGGUGUUUCCCUGUGUAUUUUUGUGAACCUCUAUAUUUUCUGUAUCCUAUUGUUGUUGUUGUUGU